rnacentral:rRNA from 1 species
UACAGGGGGGUGCAAACGUUGCUCGGAAUCAUUGGGCGUAAAGCGCACGUAGGCGGUUCGUUAUGUCGGAUGUGAAAGCCCUUGGCUUAACCGAGGAAGUGCAUCCGAAACUGGUGCUAGAGUACGAAAGAGGAUCGCGGAAUUCCCGGUGUAGAGGUGAAAUUCGUAGAUAUCGGGAGGAACACCGGUGGCGAAGGCGGCGAUCUGGGUCGAUACUGACGCUGAGGUGCGAAAGCGGGGUGGGCAAACAGG